rnacentral:rRNA from 1 species
GAUGAACGCUAGCGGGAGGCUUAACACAUGCAAGUCGAGGGGCAGCAUAGGGUAGCAAUACUCUGAUGGCGACCGGCAAACGGGUGAGUAACGCGUAUGCAACCUACCCUGUACAGGGGGAUAACCCGGAGAAAUUCGGACUAAUAUCCCGUAAUAAUAUCCGGAGGCAUCUUUGGAUAUUUAAAGUUCCGACGGUACGGGAUGGGCAUGCGUAACAUUAGCUGGUUGGUAAGGUAACGGCUUACCAAGGCUAUGAUGUUUAGGGGUCCUGAGAGGGUGGUCCCCCACACUGGUACUGAGACACGGACCAGACUCCUACGGGAGGCAGCAGUGAGGAAUAUUGGUCAAUGGGCGCAAGCCUGAACCAGCCAUCCCGCGUGCAGGAAGACGGCCCUAUGGGUUGUAAACUGCUUUUCCAGGGAGAGAAACUUACGCACGUGUUGCGUGACUGACGGUACCCUGGGAAUAAGCAUCGGCUAACUCCGUGCCAGCAGCCGCGGUAAUCGUACUCGUA